GCCGGGUGUGGUGGCUCACACCUGUAAUCCCAGCACUUUUGGAGGCCGAGGUGGGCGGAUCACCUGAGGUCGGGAGUUCGAGAUCAGCCUGACCAACAUGGAGAAAUCCCGUCUCUA
ensembl:misc_RNA Metazoa_SRP Metazoan signal recognition particle RNA